AAGGAGUGGUUGAUCCAGUGGUACUUACAGUUGAGCUUGAAGCAGUGGUACUCUCUGGUCUCACAGGUGGUUUGGUGCUUGAAGCUGAAUAAGGAGUGGUCGAUCCAGUGGUACUUACAGUUGGAGUUGAAGCAGUGGUACUUUCUGGUUUCACAGGCGGUUUGGUGCUUGAAGCUGAAUAAGGAGUGGUUGAUCCAGUGGUACUUACAGUUGGAGUUGAAGCAGUGGUACUCUCUGGUUCCACAGGCGGUUUGGUGCUUGAAGGUGAAGCUGAAUAAGGAGUGGUUGAUCCAGUGGUACUUACAGUUGAGCUUGAAGCAGUGGUACUCUCUGGUCUCACAGGCGGUUUGGUGCUUGAAGCUGAAUAAGGAGUGGUUGAUCCAGUGGUACUUACAGUUGGAGUUGAAGCAGUGGUACUUUCUGGUUUCACAGGCGGUUUGGUGCUUGAAACUGAAUAAGGAGUGGUUGAUCCAGUGGUACUUACAGUUGAAGUUGAAGCAGUGGUACUCUCUGGUCUCACAGGUGGUUUGGUGCUUGAAGCUGAAUAAGGAGUCGUUGAUCCAGUGGUACUUACAGUUGGAGUUGAAGCAGUGGUACUUUCUGGUUUCACAGGCGGUUUGGUGCUUGAAGCUGAAUAAGGAGUGGUUGAUCCAGUGGUACUUACAGUUGGAGUUGAAGCAGUGGUACUCUCUGGUUUCACAGGCGGUUUGGUGCUUGAAGCUGAAUAAGGAGUCGUUGACCCAGUGAUACUUACAGUUGUAGUUGAAGCAGUGGUACUCUCUGGUUUCACAGGUGGUUUGGUGCUUGAAGCAGAAUAAGGAGUGGUUGAUUCAGCGGUACUUACAGUUGGAGUUGAAGCAGUGGUACUUUCUGGUUUCACAGGCGGUUUGGUGCUUGAAGCUGAAUAAGGAGUGGUUGAUCCAGUGGUACUUACAGUCAAAGUUGAAGCAGUGGUACUCUCUGGUUUCACAGGUGGUUUGGUGCUUGAAGCUGAAUAAGGAGUCGUUGAUCCAGUGGUACUUACAGUAGGAGUUGAAGCAGUGGUACUCUCUGGUUUCACAGGUGGUUUGGUGCUUGAAGCUGAAUAAGGAGUCGUUGAUCCAGUGGUACUUACAGUUGGAGUUGAAGCAGUGGUACUCUCUGGUCUCACAGGUGGUUUGGUGCUUGAAGCUGAAUAAGGAGUGGUUGAUCCAGUGGUACUUACAGUCGAAGUUGAAGCAGUGGUACUCUCUGGUUUCACAGGUGGUUUGGUGCUUGAAGCUGAAUAAGGAGUCGUUGAUCCAGUGGUACUUACAGUAGGAGUUGAAGCAGUGGUACUCUCUGGUUUCACAGGUGGUUUGGUGCUUAAAGCUGAAUAAGGAGUCGUUGAUCCAGUGGUACUUACAGUAGGAGUUGAAGCAGUGGUACUCUCUGGUUUCACAGGUGGUUCGGUGCUUGAAGCUGAAUAAGGAGUCGUUGAUCCAGUGGUACUUACAGUUGGAGUUGAAGCUGUGGUACUUUCUGGUUUCACAGGCGGUUUGGUGCUUGAAGCUGAAUAAGGAGUGGUUGAUUCUGUGGUACUUACAGUUGGAGUUGAAGCAGUGGUACUUUCUGGUUUUACAGGCGGUUUGGUGCUUGAAGCUGAAUAAGGAGUGGUUGAUCCAGUGGUACUUACAGUCGAAGUUGAAGCAGUGGUACUCUCUGGUUUCACAGGUGGUUUGGUGCUUGAAGCUGAAUAAGGAGUCGUUGAUCCAGUGGUACUUACAGUUGUAGUUGAAGCAGUGGUACUCUCUGGUUUCACAGGUGGUUUGGUGCUUGAAGCUGAAUAAGGAGUCGUUGAUCCAGUGGUACUUACAGUUGGAGUUGAAGCAGUGGUACUCUCUGGUUUCACAGGUGGUUUGGUGCUUGAAGCUGAAUAAGGAGUCGUUGAUCCAGCGGUACUUACAGUAGGAGUUGAAGCAGUGGUACUAUCUGGUUUCACAGGUGGUUUGGUGCUUGAAGCUGAAUAAGGAGUCGUUGAUCCAGUGGUAC
rnacentral:lncRNA from 1 species